AUAAGAUGCUUUCCUCAGCAGAAAGGAGGGAAAAAAAACAACUGGAACUCAAAGCUUGAAAUUCUGUGGCAAAACAUGAGAUGUCCAGGAUUGGAGGUUGAAAAGAUUUCACUACAGUGUUCUGCAAUAGUUGGAGCAGAUAACUUUCAGUGUAGCCACAGCCAUGGACUCCAGAUUUCCAGAUUUUCAAGACCUGGACCUGGAACCCGAAAGAGCUUGUCACGAUGCGGCAGGAACACUGGAGGUAGAUUUUUUUUUAUUUUUGAAUUUUGGGACUGUUGACCUUGCUGUGAGAAAAGAGACAACGACUGAGCAAGCACUACCACCAGCACUGUUACUGGGAAUUAGAAGACCUGAGUUUCUGUCCAGACCCUCAGUGCAAACUGAGGAUGCUCCAUCCAAAGUGAAUUAUGAUAGCAGACUCCUUGAAAGCAGGGUCCUUGUUUAGUGCAUCUUUGCCCACAUACACCACAACAUAUCAAGAUGCAUUUAUUAGGAAGGAGGAGUUUAGAGAGCAGGCUAUCAGAAUAACCACUCACCUACAGACCUGGUACCUGGAUUUUUGCCCGAGAUGAUUCCUACCACCUUACUACUGACGAAGACACCCAUUCCAGUGGACCACUGUGACCCAGGAGGCAUUCAGCCAUCAUGAUGUGGCCUUUACCUCCACUCCUGUCUUGUUCUACCCAGAUUCAGCACAGCCCUUUAUAGUGAAGUCAGAGUCCUCAAGCCAAAUAGCUAAAGCUGUUUUAUCACAACAAAGGCCUAGUUUGUUCCAUGAGUGUGCAUUUCAUUUCUUCAGUUAAAGCCUUCAGAGACACACAAUAAAUUUGGACCAGGGGAUUUUUUAGUUAUUAAUGCUCUCUGAAGAAAGGCAACAUCUUUUUGAGAGCAGCAUUGGACCACACCCCACAAUCUCAAAUGAUUGAAAUUCAUGAACAUCUAGGAUCCCGUGAAGGUCACUGGACCCUGUUUUUUCUACUUCAAAUCCUGUAGUAGCCUACUGAAUGAGAAAACAUAUUCUGACCCAUUGGGAUCAAAUCAAAGGCACAGUGAACUCCUCAUAGCAUCUUCUUUGGAAUUACUCAGGAACCAGAACUUUUUACACAAAUGUAAGAAAUUCUACCAAGGAGUCCCCUUACCUAACAGCAUCUCACAAGGCUGCACCAGAUUCCAGAAAAGGCUUCUCUUGAUACAUCAAGGUAGAACCUCUAUGCAUUUUGUGACCGACUUAUUCUUAGAUCAUUGGUUUUCCAAAGGCUUUGUGGCCAUGAAGCCCUUUGAGUGAAAACUGUGCAGAAGCCCAGAGUAAAAGUGAAGCUGCUCUGGAUGAAGUAGUGAAGCAAGAGUAGGGGCCUGAAUCCUGCUACAACUAUCUUCCUUUACCACCGUGGUGACACCUAAGGGGACUUCCUUACAACACCUUGAACUCUUCCGAACACAGUUUGAAAACCACUGCCCCAGACAGCAAUAUGUUUGACCUGAAUGGCAUUCCAAUCUUUUCUGUACCUCCACUCAGCACAGUUCAUGUUCAGUAGAUGCUGAACAUUCUUAGAAAUACUGUGUGUGAACUUAGAAAAGUGCAAGAAGACAGGCAUGUCUUUGACCCCAGGAAUGAUCAUUUGCUGAAGAUGGUGUCAAGUGAACCUAGAUUAACAGCCCUCCACUCCAGAUGGAUAUCCAGUGAUUCCUAGAAUGGGAUAUAGCCAGAGAACAAUUCUAUGCACCCUACACUGACAGACUCCCUUAAGCAACACCAGAUGCUCUACUGGUACUUGAAGUACAUGACUUUGAAGUCUUGACCCUCCAUGAAUACCUGAAUUAUCAGCAAGCGGGUUUUGAAGCUGGUGCCUCAUUGAGGCCAUAUUAGAGCAACUUGUACAUUUGACCUCUUGUUAUCAGCCAUGGUACUCUACUUCGUGUGCAAGAGAUAACUAUGAAAGCCAAAUUCAAAUACUGGCAACAUUUCCUAAAGGGGCUCAAUAUCUAUCAUUCGUCUUCUUUUCCAAACUACACAUCACUGUAUGACUCAACCAGUAGCAGUUAUAUUGCCCCUUGGUUUUUAUUCAGUUUAACUACUGUUUCCAAGAUAAAUGAGCUAAUAAGCUUU
rnacentral:lncRNA from 10 species